UUUUUUUUUGUAGAUGUUGAAAGUCAGAGACAUAGGAGAGCAUCACUCUUUUGAGAUAACUCAAACCAACUUUGGAGUUGUCUGAUUUGGAGAGUCAUCAUUCUUGGUCUUCCCUCUUAAAGGAAAAGUUCACACAAAAAAUUAUUUAUUUGCCCUCAUGUCAUUUCAAACCUAUGAGACUUAUUAAGACUUACAACAAAAAAUAAUACAUUUUUUCAUUUUCUCAUAAUUUUGUUAAUCCAUUUAUAGUCUAGAUAAUCAGUAUUUUCAAGCCUCAUAAAUACAGAGUUAUUGUAGAAGUAAUUCAUUCUGAUAUUUAUAUAUGAAUAAAUCUGAAAUUAUAUGAUAGCAAAAUAAAAUAUUGGUUUUCAAAAUAAAAUAUUGGUCUCCCAAACUAGCAAUGGAGGACAAAAAUUAAGAGAAUAUUAAAUAUUUAUUUGUGUUUGUAUUUGUGUUGAGUCUUGAACAACAUGGAGAGAGUAAAUUAUGACCAUUUUUUUUCCUUAGAACUUAGAAACUAAUCCUUAGAAGUGCAGCCCUCCACGUACAUGAACAUUUGUGAGGCCACUGAUGAAGAACAGGUGGUGACUGGGAUGAAUGCUGUUCAAAGAAAAUACGUCCUUUCCCCUAAACUGAUGCAACAGUGGUUUUAAAGGAGGAUGCUGCCCUGAAUGAUGUAGAUGAUAUCACAUGUGCUGAUGGGGCUUCUUCAUGGCUACAUCAGUUAUGCUAAAGAGAUCAUGAAAGUUGACAGUGAUGCAUGAUCUGUAUUCAUGGACUAUAAAACCAAUUGUAAGUGUAUAAUUUGUAAAAACAAUGUUAAAUGCGUGUUCUGUGUUGUUUAGUAGAAGAGUUUACACGCUGCCAUUUAUACACAUGCUCACAUUCUUUCACACUCAAAUGUCUGUUAAAUGUUAUAAUAUCAAUGUUAAUGUUGUGGUUUAUUUGUGUACUGUCAUGCCAGAAUAUUUGGUAAAGAACUUAACUAAUUGUACAUUUAUUGUAUAAUAGUGUUUUCGUAUAUUUUUAUACAAUAUAUAAAAUUGAACAAAGUCCAAUUUGAUUUUAAAAGUUAUAUUCAACAAAUGUUCAAUGCUUUAUUUAUGAAAUCUGUAGCUAUUAAUGCCAUACUUUUCU